rnacentral:lncRNA from 1 species
CUACCUUACUGCCAGUCAGGAGUGUCUGCUCCUGCACUUUGGGAAUUCACGCGCCCUCUCACUGCCCAACACGUGUGACAGAGUGAAGGGAAAGAGCCAGGUGUGGGCAGGGGCAGUGGACCGAGACACAGGCCCCACCAUCCAGACACAACAAAAACCAACCCUCUCCUGCCUCCAAAAGUAGAAAUACCAGGAUUCUUUGCAGAAUGAAGUUAAAUAAAUUGCUUCUCAAGCUGUAGAACUCUAGUAAAAAAAGAUAAG